AUAAUGAAGCCAUUUAUAUUAACCAUUUACACGGAUAAUGUCUUAGUUUAUGGUGCUCUGGCUGAAAAUGGUCGUCUUGCCAGUGUGGAUGGUGUCCUGAAUUCCUUUGGUGUCAUCAUGGCUGCUGUGAGAGGAGAAGUCAUUUGUGAAGUUACAACUGCCAAGCCUCUUGAUGCAGCCAUGAAGAAGGAAUUGGAGCAUCACUGAAGGCUUUCCUCAAGAAGGGCGAGUCCCUGCAGCUGACAAUGAAAGUGGGACCCAUCCAUCAUUGGCGGAAUGAUCGUCUCUAUUGGCGACAAGUAUGCCGACAUGUCCAUGGCAUCCAAAAUUAAGAAGUUCACAUCUCUUCUUGAACAAGCCGUUUAAUUUUUUUUCUUGUAUUUUUAUAUUCUAAAGAAAAUCAGAGCAUCAAGCUUUGAGUAACGAAAAAAUGUAGGAAGCUGACAUCUAGAUUUGUUACCACCAGUGGGAAUGUAAAUGUUCAAGUAAAUUGUGGUAACAAUGAAAACACAAGGAAUGCAUUCCAGGUGACCAAGUUAAGUUCGGAAUGUAAAAUGAAUGGAUUUGAGGUUGUUGCAACCCAGUGUUUCCAGUGGAACUGUACAAAAUGGAAAUAUUACUAUAUGUAAAUUAAAAAUUUUAUGUAAAUUGUAUUUAUUUCAAUCAGACCUUUCAUAUUUUACAUGAAAGUAAUUCUUCUGUCUUCAUCUGAAUGUUUCCCCUUAUUAAUAAACCAGUAUGGUUA